rnacentral:pre_miRNA from 1 species
AAUCCUUUGUCCCUGGGUGAGAGUGCUUUCUGAAUGCAAUGCACCCGGGCAAGGAUUCUG